rnacentral:rRNA from 1 species
GUGAAAUACAAAUCGGACUAGGAUAUAGCUGGUUUUCUGCGAAAAUUGUUUUGGCAAAUUGUUUAUUCCUCUCAAAAAUAGUAGGUAUAGCACUGAAUAUCUCGAGGGAGUAUGAAAAUAUUUAUCUCGGAUAUUUAAUCUCAAAAUAACUAUUUCUUAAAAUAAAUAAUCAGACUAUGUGCGAUAAGGUAGAUAGUCGAAAGGGAAACAGCCCAGAACAGUAAUUAAAGCUCCCCAAUUAAUAUUAAGUGA